rnacentral:rRNA from 1 species
AUUGAACGCUGGCGGCAGGCCUAACACAUGCAAGUCGAGCGAACCUAGCUUGCUAGGUGAGCGGCGAACGGGUGAGUAACGCGUAGGAAUCUGCCUGGUAGUGGGGGACAACGUUCCGAAAGGAACGCUAAUACCGCAUACGCCCUACGGGGGAAAGCAGGGGAUCUUCGGACCUCGCGCUAUCAGAUGAGCCUGCAUCGGAUUAGCUAGUUGGUAGGGUAAAGGCCUACCAAGGCGACGAUCCGUAACUGGUCUGAGAGGAUGAUCAGUCACACCGGAACUGAGACACGGUCCGGACUCCUACGGGAGGCAGCAGUGGGGAAUAUUGGACAAUGGGGGCAACCCUGAUCCAGCCAUGCCGCGUGUGUGAAGAAGGCCUUCGGGUUGUAAAGCACUUUAGGUCGGGAGGAAGGUUCGCUGGCUAAUAUCCAGCGGAAUUGACGUUACCGACAGAAUAAGCACCGGCUAACUCCGUGCCAGCCGCCGCGGUAA